ACUCCCCCAAUCUGACUACCAGUUGGACCCUACCAGUGGGUAUAUAAGGUGAUCAAGUCCUCACUAUAGACCACAUUCGCCUCAUCCUCGGAGAAGACGUAACGACAAGACUUUGUAUUUCUGUUGCAUUCGGCUGUCGCAGAAUUGAACCCUGAAAAUGAAGGCUGCCUGUGUACUUAUUGCUCUGGUUGUCGUGAUGGGCUGCACGGAUGCCCUUUGGAUUUUUGGCGACGGGGGGAAAAGCAGCUGCGCGAUCAAAUGUGACAACGACUACGCAAACUGCAUCAAGUGCCAGUAUAAAACUCCCCCGGCUGACCCAAAAUUAUUCAGGCGUCAAUGCAUCGGAACGUGUAAUGUUCAUAACACCAACUGCAACAAGAAAUGUUAGUACUAUCUGAACCGGCUAAAGUGGUUGCUAAAGCGACCUGGUAUAUGAGUCAAUAAAAGUAUCUAAGGAAUA